rnacentral:rRNA from 1 species
GAGUAACACGUGGGUGAUCUGCCCUGCACUUCGGGAUAAGCCUGGGAAACUGGGUCUAAUACCGGAUAGGACCACGGGAUGCAUGUCUUGUGGUGGAAAGCGCUUUAGCGGUGUGGGAUGAGCCCGCGGCCUAUCAGCUUGUUGGUGGGGUGACGGCCUACCAAGGCGACGACGGGUAGCCGGCCUGAGAGGGUGUCCGGCCACACUGGGACUGAGAUACGGCCCAGACUCCUACGGGAGGCAGCAGUGGGGAAUAUUGCACAAUGGGCGCAAGCCUGAUGCAGCGACGCCGCGUGGGGGAUGACGGCCUUCGGGUUGUAAACCUCUUUCACCAUCGACGAAGGUCCGGGUUCUCUCGGAUUGACGGUAGGUGGAGAAGAAGCACCGGCCAACUACGUGCCAGCAGCCGCGGUAAUACGUAGGGUGCGAGCGUUGUCCGGAAUUACUGGGCGUAAAGAGCUCGUAGGUGGUUUGUCGCGUUGUUCGUGAAAUCUCACGGCUUAACUGUGAGCGUGCGGGCGAUACGGGCAGACUAGAGUACUGCAGGGGAGACUGGAAUUCCUGGUGUAGCGGUGGAAUGCGCAGAUAUCAGGAGGAACACCGGUGGCGAAGGCGGGUCUCUGGGCAGUAACUGACGCUGAGGAGCGAAAGCGUGGGGAGCGAACAGGAUUAGAUACCCUGGUAGUCCACGCCGUAAACGGUGGGUACUAGGUGUGGGUUUCCUUCCUUGGGAUCCGU